UGUAGUUAAUGUCACAAAUCUUGAUUACGACAAGAGAUCGAUAAAGGCUCGUUGAAGAACACCUGAAUAAAAAGAUAUUGCUAUCCACUUCUCGGAUACGAAGAAAAUGAUGAUUUCAGCCAAUCAGCAGUGGCGAACUAUCUCCUUGAACUUGUUCCUUUUCGUUAUCGGUGGAGGAGCAGGAUAUCCCUCGGGAAUAGAAUUUAAAAAUGCGUCGAUCUGUGAUGGCUUUCAUGACCAUACAGCAAAAAUCAAAAUAUCUCCAUGGCCUUUUAUAGCGACUGGAACUAUCGCCACUGUAAGUGUAACACUAACCCCCG